AGUGAACGCUGGCGGUAGGCCUAACACAUGCAAGUCGAACGGCAGCACAGUAAGAGCUUGCUCUUACGGGUGGCGAGUGGCGGACGGGUGAGGAAUACAUCGGAAUCUACUUUUUCGUGGGGGAUAACGUAGGGAAACUUACGCUAAUACCGCAUACGACCUACGGGUGAAAGCAGGGGAUAUUCGGACCUUGCGCGAAUGAAUGAGCCGCUGUCGGACUAGCUAGUGGGCGGGGUAAAGGCCAACCAAGCGGACGAUCCGUAGCUGGUCUGAGAGGAUGGUCGGCCACACUGGAACUGAGACACGGUCCAUGCUCCUACGGGAGGGAGCAGUGGGGAAUAUUGGACAAUGGGCGCAAGCCUUAUCCAGCCAUACCGCGUCGGUGAAGGAGGCCUUCGGGUUGUAAAGCCCGUUUGUUGGGUAAGAAAAGCAUCAGGUUAAUACGCCGCUGUUCUGACGGUACCCAAAGAAUAAGCACCGGCUAACUUCGUG
rnacentral:rRNA from 1 species